UACGAAGGGGGCUAGCGUUGCUCGGAAUCACUGGGCGUAAAGGGCGCGUAGGCGGGCUCUUAAGUCAAGGGUGAAAGCCCAAGGCUCAACCUUGGAAUUGCCUUUGAUACUGAGGGCCUUGAGACCGGAAGAGGUCGGCGGAACUGCGAGUGUAGAGGUGAAAUUCGUAGAUAUUCGCAAGAACACCAGUGGCGAAGGCGACUUCCUGGCCUGUUCUUGACGCUGAGGCGCGAAAGCUAGGGGAGCGAACGGG
rnacentral:rRNA from 1 species